GAUGAACGCUGGCGGCGUGCCUAAUACAUGCAAGUCGAGCGAACGGACGAGAAGCUUGCUUCUCUGAUGUUAGCGGCGGACGGGUGAGUAACACGUGGAUAACCUACCUAUAAGACUGGGAUAACUCCGGGAAACCGGAGCUAAUACCGGAUGAUAUUUUGAACCGCAUGGUACAAAAGUGAAAGACGGUCUUGCUGUCACUUAUAGAUGGAUCCGCGCUGCAUUAGCUAGUUGGUAAGGUAACGGCUUACCAAGGCAACGAUGCAUAGCCGACCUGAGAGGGUGAUCGGCCACACUGGAACUGAGACACGGUCCAGACUCCUACGGGAGGCAGCAGUAGGGAAUCUUCCGCAAUGGGCGAAAGCCUGACGGAGCAACGCCGCGUGAGUGAUGAAGGUCUUCGGAUCGUAAAACUCUGUUAUUAGGGAAGAACAUAUGUGUAAGUAACUGUGCACAUCUUGACGGUACCUAAUCAGAAAGCCACGGCUAACUACGUGCCAGCAGCCGCGGUAAUACGUAGGUGGCAAGCGUUAUCCGGAAUUAUUGGGCGUAAAGCGCGCGUAGGCGGUUUUUUAAGUCUGAUGUGAAAGCCCACGGCUCAACCGUGGAGGGUCAUUGGAAACUGGAAAACUUGAGUGCAGAAGAGGAAAGUGGAAUUCCAUGUGUAGCGGUGAAAUGCGCAGAGAUAUGGAGGAACACCAGUGGCGAAGGCGACUUUCUGGUCUGUAACUGACGCUGAUGUGCGAAAGCGUGGGGAUCAAACAGGAUUAGAUACCCUGGUAGUCCACGCCGUAAACGAUGAGUGCUAAGUGUUAGGGGGUUUCCGCCCCUUAGUGCUGCAGCUAACGCAUUAAGCACUCCGCCUGGGGAGUACGACCGCAAGGUUGAAACUCAAAGGAAUUGACGGGGACCCGCACAAGCGGUGGAGCAUGUGGUUUAAUUCGAAGCAACGCGAAGAACCUUACCAAAUCUUGACAUCCUUUGACAACUCUAGAGAUAGAGCCUUCCCCUUCGGGGGACAAAGUGACAGGUGGUGCAUGGUUGUCGUCAGCUCGUGUCGUGAGAUGUUGGGUUAAGUCCCGCAACGAGCGCAACCCUUAAGCUUAGUUGCCAUCAUUAAGUUGGGCACUCUAAGUUGACUGCCGGUGACAAACCGGAGGAAGGUGGGGAUGACGUCAAAUCAUCAUGCCCCUUAUGAUUUGGGCUACACACGUGCUACAAUGGACAAUACAAAGGGCAGCGAAACCGCGAGGUCAAGCAAAUCCCAUAAAGUUGUUCUCAGUUCGGAUUGUAGUCUGCAACUCGACUACAUGAAGCUGGAAUCGCUAGUAAUCGUAGAUCAGCAUGCUACGGUGAAUACGUUCCCGGGUCU
rnacentral:rRNA from 1 species